UACAGAGGAUGCAAGCGUUAUCCGGAAUGAUUGGGCGUAAAGCGUCCGUAGGUGGCUUUUUAAGUCUGCCGUCAAAUCCCAGGGCUUAACCCUGGACAGGCGGUGGAAACUACCAAGCUGGAGUACGGUGGGGGCAGAGGGAAUUUCCGGUGGAGCGGUGAAAUGCGUAGAGAUCGGAAAGAACACCAACGGCGAAAGCACUCUGCUGGGCCGACACUGACACUGAGAGACGAAAGCUAGGGGAGCGAAUGGG
rnacentral:rRNA from 1 species